GAUGAACGCUGGCGGCGUGCCUAAUACAUGCAAGUCGAGCGAACGGACGAGAAGCUUGCUUCUCUGAUGUUAGCGGCGGACGGGUGAGUAACACGUGGAUAACCUACCUAUAAGGCUGGGAUAACUUCGGGAAACCGGAGCUAAUACCGGAUAAUAUUUUGAACCGCAUGGUUCAAAAGUGAAAGACGGUCUUGCUGUCACUUAUAGAUGGAUCCGCGCUGCAUUAGCUAGUUGGUAAGGUAACGGCUUACCAAGGCAACGAUGCAUAGCAGACCUGAGAGGGUGAUCGGCCACACUGGAACUGAGACACGGUCCAGACUCCUACGGGAGGCAGCAGUAGGGAAUCUUCCGCAAUGGGCGAAAGCCUGACGGAGCAACGCCGCGUGAGUGAUGAAGGUCUUCGGAUCGUAAAACUCUGUUAUUAGGGAAGAACAUAUGUGUAAGUAACUGUGCACAUCUUGACGGUACCUAAUCAGAAAGCCACGGCUAACUACGUG
rnacentral:rRNA from 1 species